AGGGGUGAAGCUCAGUGGUAGAGCAUCUGUUUUGCAUACAGGAAGCCCCUGGUUCAUUCCCUGUCACCUCCA